AGAGUUUGAUCAUGGCUCAGAGCGAACGCUGCGGGGGGUCCUACCAUGCAAGUCGAACGAGGAUCGUCGGGUUAGCAAUAAUUCGGCGGUCCUAGUGGCGCACGGGUGAGUAACACGUGGGUGACCUGCCCUUGAGUUCGGGAUACCCCCCUCGAAAGGGGGGCUAAUACCGGAUACGUUCCCCGGUUGAAAGACUGGGGAGGAAAGGUGGCGCAAGCUGCCGCUCUUGGAGGGGCUCGCGGCCUAUCAGCUAGUUGGCGGGGUAACGGCCCACCAAGGCUAUGACGGGUAGCUGGUCUGAGAGGACGACCAGCCACACGGGGACUGAGACACGGCCCCGACUCCUACGGGAGGCAGCAGUGGGGAAUUUUCCGCAAUGGGCGAAAGCCUGACGGAGUGACGCCGCGUGUGGGACGAAGGCCUUCGGGUCGUAAACCACUGUCAGUGGGAAAGAUGGGUGUCGGCGCUAAUACCGCCGACAUCUGACGGUACCUGCAGAGGAAGCCCCGGCCAACUCUGUGCCAGCAGCCGCGGUAAGACAGAGGGGGCAAGCGUUGCUCGGAAUUACUGGGCGUAAAGGGCGCGUAGGCGGGAUGGCAAGUCGGUCGUGAAAUCCCUCGGCUCAACUGAGGAACGUCGAUCGAUACUGCUGUUCUUGAGGAUUGCAGAGGAGACUGGAAUUCCCGGUGUAGCGGUGAAAUGUGUAGAGAUCGGGAGGAACACCGGUGGCGAAGGCGGGUCUCUGGGCAAUUCCUGACGCUGAGGCGCGAAAGCGUGGGGAGCAAACGGGAUUAGAUACCCUAGUAGUCC
rnacentral:rRNA from 1 species